ACGAACGCUGGCGGCGUGCUUAACCCCUGCAAGUCGCACGGAAAGGCCCUGCUUUUGUGGGGUGCUCGAGUGGCGAACGGGUGAGUAACACGUGAGUAACCUGCCCUUGACUUUGGGAUAACUUCAGGAAACUGGGGCUAAUACCGGAUAGGAGCUCCUGCUGCAUGGUGGGGGUUGGAAAGUUUCGGCGGUUGGGGAUGGACUCGCGGCUUAUCAGCUUGUUGGUGGGGUAGUGGCUUACCAAGGCUUUGACGGGUAGCUGGCCUGAGAGGGUGACCGGCCACAUUGGGACUGAGAUACGGCCCAGACUCCUACGGGAGGCAGCAGUGGGGAAUAUUGCACAAUGGGCGGAAGCCUGAUGCAGCAACGCCGCGUGCGGGAUGACGGCCUUCGGGUUGUAAACCGCUUUCGCCUGUGACGAAGCGUGAGUGACGGUAAUGGGUAAAGAAGCACCGGCUAACUACGUG
rnacentral:rRNA from 1 species